AACGCACAUUGCGCCCCUCGGUAUCCCGGGGGGCAUGCCUGUUCGAGCGUCAUUUCUACCACUCAAGUUUAACUUGGUAUUGGGUGUUGUAGCUCCUAAAAGCUACAUGCCUUAAAUUUAGCCGGCAACAAGCACCAGUUCCGAGCGUAGCAGUAAAACAUUUCGCUUUGGGAGCCUUGGAGUAUUGUUCACCGCAAGAAUCUUUAUAGUUUGACCUCGGAUCAGGCAGGGAUACCCGCUGAACUUAA
rnacentral:misc_RNA from 1 species